GACGAACGCUGGCGGCGUGCUUAAUGAAUGCGAGUCGAGCGAGAACCGGACUGAGGAAACCUUCGGGUGGAAUCAGUCUGGGGAGAGCGGCAAACGGGUGAGUAACACGUGGGUAACCUGCCCCUCAGACGGGGAUAAUUCGCCGAAAGGCGGACUAAUACCCGAUGGUGAUGUGCCAACACAUGUUGAUACAUCUAAAGGCUCCGGUGCUGAGGGAGGGGUCCGCGGCCGAUUAGCUUGUUGGUAGGGUAACGGCCUACCAAGGCUUCGAUCGGUAGCCGGUCUGAGAGGAUGACCGGUCACACUGGGACUGAGACAUGGUCCAGACUCCUACGGGAGUUAGCAUCAGGGAAUCUUGCGCAAUGGGCGAAAGCCUGACGCAGCGACGCCGCGUGGGUGAUGAAGGCCUGCGGGUCGUAAAGCCCUGUCGGGAGGGAAGAAACAGCACCUUCGGGUGCUUUGACUGUACCUCCGGAGGAAGCCCCGGCUAAUUACGUGCCAGCAGCCGCGGUAAUACGUAAGGGGCCAGCGUUGUCCGGAAUUACUGGGCGUAAAGAGCACGUAGGCGGUUAGGAAAGCGAUAGGUGAAAUCCCCCGGCUCAACCGAGGAACUGCUUAUCGAACUGCCUGACUAGAGCACGGGAGAGGGCACUGGAAUUCCUGGUGUAGCGGUGGAAUGCGUAUAUAUCAGGAGGAACACCGGUGGCGAAGGCUGGUGCCUGGAACGUUGCUGACGCUAAGGUGCGAAAGCCAGGGGAACAAACGGGAUUAGAUACCCCGGUAGUCCUGGCCGUAAACGAUGGACACUAGGUGUUGGAGGUUCGACCCCUUCAGUGCUGUUAGGCUAACGCGUUAAGUGUCCCGCCUGGGGAGUACGGUCGCAAGGCUGAAACUCAAAGGAAUUGACGGGGGCCCGCACAAGCGGUGGGGCAUGUGGGUCAAUGGGAUGAUACGCCGAGAACCUUACCAGGGCUUGACAUGACCCUGAUCCCCUGCGAAAGCAGGUCUUCUGGGCAACCAGACAGGGCCACAGGUGGUGCAUGGUUGUCGACAGCUCGUGUCGUGAGAUGUUGGGUUAAGUCCCGCAACGAGCGCAACCCUCGCCGGAUGUUGCCAGCGGUUAGGCCGGGCACUCUUCCGGGACUGCCGGAGUAAUCCGGAGGAAGGGGGGGAUGACGUCAAAUCUGCAUGCCCCUUAUGUCCUGGGCUGCACACGUGCUACAAUGGCGAGUACAAAGGGUCGCGAAGCCGCGAGGCCCAGCUAAUCCCCAAAAACUCGUCCCAGUUCGGAUUGGAGUCUGCAACUCGACUCCAUGAAGUCGGAAUCGCUAGUAACCGUGGAUCAGCAAUACCGCGGUGAAUACGUUCCCGGGCCUUGUACACACCGCCCGUCAAGUCACGGAAGCCGACAGCACCCCAAGUCCGCUACGGCGGCCCAAGGUGAGGUCAGUGACUGGG
rnacentral:rRNA from 1 species